rnacentral:rRNA from 1 species
AUUGAACGCUGGCGGCAGGCCUAACACAUGCAAGUCGAACGGCAGCACAGAAGAGCUUGCUCUUUGGGUGGCGAGAGGCGGACGGGUGAGUAAUGUCUGGGAAACUGCCCGAUGGAGGGGGAUAACUACUGGAAACGGUAGCUAAUACCGCAUAACGUCGCAAGACCAAAGUGGGGGACCUUCGGGCCUCACACCAUCGGAUGUGCCCAGAUGGGAUUAGCUAGUAGGUGGGGUAAUGGCUCACCUAGGCGACGAUCCCUAGCUGGUCUGAGAGGAUGACCAGCCACACUGGAACUGAGACACGGUCCAGACUCCUACGGGAGGCAGCAGUGGGGAAUAUUGCACAAUGGGCGCAAGCCUGAUGCAGCCAUGCCGCGUGUAUGAAGAAGGCCUUCGGGUUGUAAAGUACUUUCAGCGGGGAGGAAGGCGGUGAGGUUAAUAACCUUGCCGAUUGACGUUACCCGCAGAAGAAGCACCGGCUGACUCCGUGCCAGCAGCCGCCGUAA